rnacentral:lncRNA from 1 species
CAUUGUAAAUAUCCUUCUUUAAUGAUGACCAAUAUUUCAACAUCUGUCAUCUGUGUGUUUUUCAGUCCAGUUAAUAUGGACCAUACUGAUUGAAUGUGGUCUGUAUUACAUGGCACUAUUGAGCCAUAGUAAUGCAGAGUGACUAAUGCUUCCAGAGAAAAUGAAAUGUGUUACCUUAACAGUGUUUUCCUUAUUAAUCACAGAAGUAAUCUGUUAAAGUGGGUUGUCAGUAAGUGAAAUCAAUUUUCUUGCAAUUAGAUUGGUAAGUAUAUCGUCAUUCUUCAGUGAAAGAUUUUGCUAGUCCAUUUUGUGGGCUGGGAUUGACAUCUAGCUACUUUCUUGGCUCACUGCUUAUAAUUUCAAAAAAGCAUCUUACUGCUGUCAAAAAUUUUCCCAAUUUUUUAAGUUUUAUUGCCUUCUUUCAUCUAACAUCUGGAGAGCUCUUCAGCCACCUUAUUUGAGAUGGCUGCAUACAGAUUAUCUGGAUCAAGUGUGUAUUUGAUUUCCUCGUUUCCUACAACUUAAAAUGUCAAAAUAUGGAAAAGCAUCAGCCAAAUAUCUGGCUGUCAGUUUUGAAGUCCCACAGGUUUAUUUGCCCUGUGUCUUAAACUCUGAAAAGCAAAAAUGUAAGGAAAUUUGCACCAGGGAGUGAUUAGGAAGAUAUUUGGCAUCGUUGCCAGUAUGAAAGUAGAAUAUGGUUAUACCUACUCUAAGAGAACUGCUUAUAAGUCUGCAGCUGGUCUGUCCCAAACCCUUAAUAACUCCAUAGCAUGGAAUUAUUUGAUUCAAAGAUUCACUGCUGCCCGCAGAGAAGCAUACAACUGGAUUAGCAAAGAAAAACUUUUCUUUCAGUACUGCCCAUCACAAAGAAUAGGGGCUACCAAGGUAAAGAAUGCGCUGUCUUUGAAAAACCCCAAACUCUCUCUAGAGCUCUCCAAACAGCAAUAUGUUCCCAUGGGAAUUGAUGAGCAACAAAACACAGAGCAAAAGCAGUCAAUCUGCUAAUGAGACCACACAUGAGCAUGCCUCUCCUGGGGUUCUGAUGAAACACAAAGGAGACCAUGACGCACAAUCAGUAGCAGCUCAAUUAAAUGUUGCAUUUUUGAGGUGUUCAAAUUACUCUCAAUUUC